AUUGAACGCUGGCGGCAUGCCUUACACAUGCAAGUCGAACGGUAACAGGUCCUCGGAUGCUGACGAGUGGCGAACGGGUGAGUAAUACAUCGGAACGUGCCUAGUAGUGGGGGAUAACUACUCGAAAGAGUGGCUAAUACCGCAUGAGAUCUACGGAUGAAAGCAGGGGAUCGCAAGACCUUGUGCUACUAGAGCGGCCGAUGGCAGAUUAGGUAGUUGGUGGGAUAAAAGCUUACCAAGCCGACGAUCUGUAGCUGGUCUGAGAGGACGAUCAGCCACACUGGGACUGAGACACGGCACAGACUCCUACGGGAGGCAGCAGUGGGGAAUUUUGGACAAUGGGCGCAAGCCUGAUUCAGCAAUGCCGCGUGCAGGAUGAAGGCCUUCGGGUUGUAAACUGCUUUUGUACGGAACGAAAAGCCCUGGGUUAAUACCCUGGGGUCAUGACGGUACCGUAAGAAUAAGCACCGGCUAACUACGUGCCAGCAGCCGCAGUAAUAC
rnacentral:rRNA from 1 species